UGCCUUUGUGUGUUGCCAGUUCAUUGCUUUCAUAGUGGACUGGGUGUCAACUAAGGCAUAAAGAAACUCUUGCUGUUGUCUUUGAAAUUAUUUGUCAGUUCUCUCUGAAAGAUGAUUGGCAGGGACAUGC
ensembl:snoRNA small nucleolar RNA SNORA13